rnacentral:ncRNA from 1 species
CCGCCCGUCACACCAUGGGAGUGGGUUGCUCCAGAAGUAGCUAGUCUAACCGCAAGGGGGACGGUUACCACGGAGUGAUUCAUGACUGGGGUGAAGUCGUAACAAGGUAGCCGUAUCGGAAGGUGCGGCUGGAUCACCUCCUUU